rnacentral:misc_RNA from 1 species
GUUUGGAAGUUCAGAAUAAGAUUUAACGGUCCACUCACUACACCAGAAAACUAAAAGAUUAAAAAAUGCCUGAAGAAAUUUAAGAAAUGGGAUCAUGUUUCCUUGGGAGGAGCUUUUUUUGCAGCCUCGGCAGCGGCUUUUUCUGCUUCAAUUUCUGCAACGAGAGAAUCAAUUUCAGCUUCUUCCAAUUGUCGCAGUCCAUGCUCCUUUGUCAUCACGGCGACCUCUAUGUUCUUUCCACCACUCUCAACAACCUCAAGCAAUGCUCGGAUGGCAAGCUUCACAGUUUCCUGACCAGAAGUUUCCUUAUAAUUUUUCUCUAAGAAUUCCCUUAUUGAAUUGGAG